AAUUCCAGUUUCAAGGUACUGGCUACCCAUAAAAAGGAGGUGAUUGAUCAAAUUACUACAGUGUUCACUCUAUGUACAGCUUUACACAAUGCGACUCUUGCCUGGUUUUAAAAAGUCUGUGCCUUUUGCUGACUGAAGCUCUUUUCUUCUACUGGCUCCUCACCUCAAUGAAAUUACCAUUGAACACCUCUGAUAUUACUUACUUCUGCAUAUUUGAGAGUAAAGAUGUUGGACAAAUGGAAAAGUCCUUAAAAAAAAUCCAACAAAAUGGCCUUUCCCAGGACAAUGCUUGGGAAAGUCGUGCCUGUUGCUCUCUGUAGCCAGAGAGCUGCUGCCACACAAAUGUGGCACUCAG
rnacentral:lncRNA from 1 species